rnacentral:lncRNA from 10 species
GCAGCAGUGACCUUGGUUUGGAGCCCGGGUUGGGGACCCCAGUGAUGCCAAUUUUCUUUGCCCUCAUCAUCCCAAGGCGGCUGCUGCAGUUUCAGACAUCACAACUUUGUUCAGCGCAAAGGAGAAGGGGGACAGGGGAUGAGAAAACUGGAGUUCGGAGAUGGGCUUGCUCACGGCCUCACAGCCAGGGAGCCUGCUCACCCCAGUGUGUGCCCAGCCAGAAA